rnacentral:rRNA from 1 species
UACGUAGGGUCCAAGCGUUGUCCGGAUUUAUUGGCGUAAAGGAGCGUGUAGGCGGCUUGACAAGUCCGCUGUGAAAACUCGAAGGCUCAACCUCGAGAUGAUCGGCGGAAACUGUCAGGCUAGAGUCCGGAAGAGGAGAGUGGAAUCCCGGUGUAGCGGUGAAAUGCGCAGAAUAUCGGGAAGAACACCUGUGGCGAAGGCGGCUCUCUGGGAACGGGUACUGGACGCUGAGACGCGAAAGCGUGGGGAGCAAACAGG